AACGAACGCUGGCGGCAGGCCUAACACAUGCAAGUCGAGCGCCCCGCAAGGGGAGCGGCGGACGGGUGAGUAACGCGUGGGAGCGUACCCUUUGCUACGGAAUAGCCUCGGGAAACUGGGAGUAAUACCGUAUGUGUCCUUCGGGAGAAAGAUUUAUCGGCAAGGGAUCGGCCCGCGUUGGAUUAGGUAGUUGGUGGGGUAAUGGCCUACCAAGCCGACGAUCCAUAGCUGGUUUGAGAGGAUGAUCAGCCACACUGGGACUGAGACACGGCCCAGACUCCUACGGGAGGCAGCAGUGGGGAAUCUUAGACAAUGGGCGCAAGCCUGAUCUAGCCAUGCCGCGUGAGCGAUGAAGGCCUUAGGGUUGUAAAGCUCUUUCAGGGGGGAAGAUAAUGACUGUACCCCCAGAAGAAGCCCCGGCUAACUCCGUG
rnacentral:rRNA from 1 species